rnacentral:lncRNA from 1 species
GGAGUGGGGAGAAGCUCUUGCUUCUGCCUGAGGGUUUACUUAAGCUCAUUGCCUCUCACAUUACCGUUAGUCGUCUAAAUCCACUAACGGUUUGUGCAGGUGCUAAUUGUAUUCAAUUUUGAAAAUACCAGAUUAUAUUAACUUUUCUGCUUAAAAAUUAUUUUAUUAAUAUUUAAAAAGUAAUUAUUAUUAGCUCGCUUUUAUGAACGUAUGGCUCAAUGUUGGUCAAACGAGAGAGAGAGAGAGAGAGAGAGUAACCAAUGUUCUAAAUUGUUCUCUGAUGUGUUGGGCUGCAUAUCGUCUCGCUCUUUUCACAAAUAUUGCUCUGAGCUGUAUAAAGUUUUCUUUUCCUCUUAUAACCAUAGAAAGCCUCUUUUCAAACAAACAAAAAUAAUAUGAGUCUAGGAUUAGACUCUAAUACAACUAAAUCCUAUAUAUGACAAUGCUUUUGAUUUUCUAAAUUUAGGUUUAAAGUUCUGAGGUUUUCAAGGGAUUUAUGGAUUUGUUUUAGAAUCAGACUUUACUAAAUCCACGUAAGUAUUUUUAUCGUUAAUUGCCUGUUUACUUUCUUGAAAUAUUUUGAGCCUGAGAAUUAAAGUGAUUUGUUAUUUAGUGAGCACAAAA